UAUUUUGGAACUCCGAAUCCUACCUCCACGUGGUGCUGGCUGGAAUAUGAUGUCCUCUUGCGAUGAUCAUAUACGAACAGGAUCGG
rfam:Anopheles stephensi strain SDA-500 unplaced genomic scaffold supercont1.478, whole genome shotgun sequence.